GAUGAACGCUGGCGGCGUGCCUAAUACAUGCAAGUCGAGCGAACAGACGAGGAGCUUGCUCCUCUGACGUUAGCGGCGGACGGGUGAGUAACACGUGGAUAACCUACCUAUAAGACUGGGAUAACUUCGGGAAACCGGAGCUAAUACCGGAUAAUAUAUUGAACCGCAUUGUUCAAUAGUGAAAGACGGUUUUGCUGUCACUUAUAGAUGGAUCCGCGCCGCAUUAGCUAGUUGGUAAGGUAACGGCUUACCAAGGCUACGAUGCGUAGCCGACCUGAGAGGGUGAUCGGCCACACUGGAACUGAGACACGGUCCAGACUCCUACGGGAGGCAGCAGUAGGGAAUUUUCCGCAAUAGGCGAAAGCAUGACGGAGCGACGCCGCGUGAGUGAUGAAGGUCUUCGGAUCGUAAAACUCUGUUAUUAGGGAAGAACAAAUGUGUAAGUAAAUAUGCACGUCUUGACGGUACCUAAUCAGAAAGCCACGGCUAACUACGUG
rnacentral:rRNA from 1 species